AUUGAACGCUGGCGGAAUGCUUUACACAUGCAAGUCGAACGGCAGCACGGACUUCGGUCUGGUGGCGAGUGGCGAACGGGCGAGUAAUGUAUCGGAACGUGCCCAGUCGUGGGGGAUAACGUAGUGAAAAUUACGCUAAUACCGCAUACGAUCUAUGGAUGAAAGCGGGGGAUCGCAAGACCUCGCGCGAUUGGAGCGGCCGAUAUCAGAUUAGGUAGUUGGUGGGGUAAAGGCCCACCAAGCCAACGAUCUGUAGCUGGUCUGAGAGGACGACCAGCCACACUGGAACUGAGACACGGUACAGACUCCUACGGGAGGCAGCAGUGGGGAAUUUUGGACAAUGGGCGAAAGCCUGAUCCAGCCAUCCCGCGUGCAGGAUGAAGGCCCUCGGGUUGUAAACUGCUUUUGUACAGAACGAAAAGGUUUCUACUAAUACUAGGAGCUCAUGACGGUACUGUAAGAAUAAGCACCGGCUAACUACGUGCCAACCGCCGCCGUAA
rnacentral:rRNA from 1 species